rnacentral:rRNA from 1 species
CUACGGGCGGCUCCAGUGGGGAAUAUUGCACAAUGGAGGAAACUCUGAUGCAGCAACGCCGCGUGGAGGAUGACACUUUUCGGAGCGUAAACUCCUUUUAUAUAGGAAGAUAAUGACGGUACUAUAUGAAUAAGCACCGGCUAACUCCGUGCCAGCAGCCGCGGUAAUACGGAGGGUGCAAGCGUUACUCGGAAUCACUGGGCGUAAAGAGCGUGUAGGCGGGUUAAUAAGUCAGAAGUGAAAUCCUAUGGCUCAACCAUAGAACUGCUUUUGAAACUGUUAACCUAGAGUGCGGGAGAGGUAGAUGGAAUUUCUGGUGUAGGGGUAAAAUCCGUAGAGAUCAGAAGGAAUACCGAUUGCGAAGGCGAUCUACUGGAACAUAACUGACGCUGAGACGCGAAAGCGUGGGGAGCAAACAGGAUUAGAUACCCGGGUAGUC